UUCUGGUGUCCUAGGCGUGGAGGAACCACACCAAUCCAUCCCGAACUUGGUGGUUAAACUCUACUGCGGUGACGAUACUGUAGGGGAAGCCCUGCGGAAAAAUAGCUCGACGCCAGGAUGAUAAAAAGCUUAACG
rnacentral:rRNA from 1 species